rnacentral:tRNA from 1 species
UAGCUCGGUUGGUAGAGCGCUCCACUGGGAAUGGAGAGGUCCCCUGUUCGAUACCGGG